GACGAACGCUGGCGGCGUGCUUAACACAUGCAAGUCGAACGGAAAGGCCCUGCUUUUGUGGGGUGCUCGAGUGGCGAACGGGUGAGUAACACGUGAGUAACCUGCCCUUGACUUUGGGAUAACUUCAGGAAACUGGGGCUAAUACCGGAUAGGAGCUCCUGCUGCAUGGUGGGGGUUGGAAAGUUUCGGCGGUUGGGGAUGGACUCGCGGCUUAUCAGCUUGUUGGUGGGGUAGUGGCUUACCAAGGCUUUGACGGGUAGCCGGCCUGAGAGGGUGACCGGCCACAUGGGGACUGAGAUACGGCCCAGACUCCUACGGGAGGCAGCAGUGGGGAAUAUUGCACAAUGGGCGGAAGCCUGAUGCAGCAACGCCGCGUGCGGGAUGACGGCCUUCGGGUUGUAAACCGCUUUCGCCUGUGACGAAGCGUGAGUGACGGUAACGGGUAAAGAAGCACCGGCUAACUACGUG
rnacentral:rRNA from 1 species